AUUCCAGCUCCAAUAGCGUAUAUUUAAGUUGUUGCAGUUAAAAAGCUCGUAGUUGGAUUUCGGAUGGAUGCGACCGGUCCGCCGUUUCGGUGUGCACUGGUUGCGUUUAUCUUGCUGUCGGGGACGCGCUCCUGGACUUAACUGCCUGGGACGUGGAGUCGGCGAAGUUACUUUGAAAAAAUUAGAGUGUUCAAAGCAGGCCUACGCUCUGAAUACAUUAGCAUGGAAUAACGCGAUAGGACUCUGGUCUUAUUUCGUUGGUCUUCGAGACCGGAGUAAUGAUUAAGAGGGACAGUUGGGGGCAUUCGUAUUUCAUUGUCAGAGGUGAAAUUCUUGGAUUUAUGAAAGACGAACUUCUGCGAAAGCAUUUGCCAAGGAUGUUUUCAUCG
rnacentral:rRNA from 1 species